rnacentral:rRNA from 1 species
GAUGAACGCUGGCGGCGUGCCUAAUACAUGCAAGUCGAGCGAACGGACGAGAAGCUUGCUCCUCUGAUGUUAGCGGCUGACGGGUGAGUAACACGUGGAUAACCUACCUAUAAGACUGGGGUCACUUCGGGAAACCGGAGCUAAUACCGGAUCAUAUUUUGAACCGCAUGCUUCAAAAGUGAAAGACGGUCUUGCUGACACUUAUAGAUGGAUCCGCGCUGCAUUAGCUAGUUGGGAAGGUAACGGCUUACCAAGGCAACGAUGCAUAGCCGACCUGAGAGGGUGAUCGGCCACACUGGAACUGAGACACGGUCCAGACUCCUACGGGAGGCAGCAGUAGGGAAUCUUCCGCGAUGGGCGAAAGCCUGAUGGAGCAAAACCGCGUGAGUGAUGAAGGUCUUCGGAUCGUAAAGCUCUGUUAUUAGGGAAGAACAUAUGUGUAAGUAACUGUGCACAUCUUGACGGUACCUAAUCAGAAAGCCACGGCUAACUACGUG